GCGCUGCGCAUGUAAAACGAAUUUUUACUGACGCCGUCACCGGGGAGUAUAAAACCGGAGGCCCCGGCGAGGCCGCCGGUCCCGAGGGGAGGAGGCUGUACCGCACUUAAAUGCGAGCGUAACCAACUACGGUCUCCCCGUCCCGGCGAGGAACAACAGGGAGGAGGCGAAGCGGAAAUGGGGCUCCGCCACCGCGCCUCCUCGCUCCUGCUGCUAUCCCUGGCUCUCGGGCUCGCCGUCGCGCUCGUCUCAGUGUCGGCGCAGCAGAAGUUCGGGAUCAACUACGGGCAGAUCGCCAACGACCUGCCGGACCCGACGCGGGUGGCGGGGCUCCUCCAGUCGAUGAACGUGAACAAGGUGAAGCUCUACGACGCGGACCCCAGGGUGCUGACGGCCUUCGCCAACACCGGCGUCGAGUUCAUCAUCGCCGUGGGCAACGAGAACCUGCAGACCAUGGCCGCCAGCCCCGCCGCGGCGCGCCAGUGGGUGGCCACGCACGUGCAGCCCUACAUCCCGGCCACGCGCGUCACCUGCGUCACCGUCGGCAACGAGGUCUUCUCCAGCAACGACAACGUCAUGAUGUCCAGCCUCCUCCCCGCCAUGAAGGCCGUCUACGCCGCGCUCGGCGACCUGGGCCUCGGCAGCCAGGUCACCGUGUCGUCGGCGCACUCCGUGAACGUGCUCGCCACCAGCUUCCCGCCGUCGUCGGGCGCGUUCCGGGAGGACCUCGCCGAGUACAUCCAGCCGAUCCUCGACUUCCACGGCCAGACGGGCUCGCCGUUCCUCAUCAACGCCUACCCGUUCUUCGCCUACAAGGCCAACCCCGGCAGCGUGUCGCUGCCGUACGUGCUGUUCGAGCCCAACCCGGGCGUGCGCGACCCCAACACCAACCUCAGCUACGACAACAUGCUCUACGCCCAGAUCGACGCCGUGUACGCGGCGAUGAAGGCCAUGGGGCACACGGACGUGGGCGUCAGGAUCUCCGAGACCGGGUGGCCGUCCAAGGGCGACGAGGACGAGACCGGCGCCACCGUGCAGAACGCCGCGGCGUACAACGGGAACCUCAUGCAGAGGAUCGCCAUGAACCAGGGGACGCCGCUCAAGCCCAACGUGCCCAUCGACGUCUACGUGUUCGCGCUGUUCAACGAGGACAUGAAGCCGGGGCCGACGUCGGAACGGAACUACGGGCUGUUCUACCCCAACGGCUCGCCGGUGUACGCGAUCAACGCCGGCUCCGGCUCCGGCUCCGGCUCCGGCGGGUCGCUGAACCCGUACUACACGUCCAUGUUCUCCUCCUCGUCCAAAUUGGCGAUAACGUUUCCGACGGGGGUGGUUGUCCUGCUCGCCGCAUUAUUCCUGUGACUGAGCUUCCUCCACCCGUACCACCCAGAGGGAAAGGCGCGCAGAUCAUUGGCGGCUUCCCUUCCGACUGACGCAAUCCGGCCUGAGUUGUCAUCGCCACCCAUCACUGCCGGCGGCGCCCGGCGGGUGUAUUGCCGUCACUAAUGUCAGCGAGGAUGGACAGUUUGUUGUUCUGUAUAGACGUUAUGGUCUGUGAUGUGCCUGCACUGACCGUGGAGGAAGGGUGCUAGAUAGGUGAGUCACAUGUACUAAUGUAGUAGCUAGCUUGCCCAUGUACUUGUUAUUGCUAAUGAUCAGCUCUAGGGAAGCCACUUCCAAGCAUCAAAGAACAAAACGAAUUGUGUGGAAAGAAGUGGCUGUUCGAAUCUGGUGGUUUUGCAGCGGCAAGCACAUGAGUUGUUGUACUUGUACCUGUUUAUUUCUGUUCUUCUUGUUGAGGUUAUUGUAUUUAUUCAAUUUUAUUGUUCUCAUUUAGUU